rnacentral:piRNA from 1 species
UAAGAACCCACCUUUGAGGAUGC